CCUACGGGAGGCAGCAGUGGGGAAUCUUCCGCAAUGGACGAAAGUCUGACGGAGCAACGCCGCGUGUAUGAUGAAGGUCUUCGGAUUGUAAAGUACUGUCUUUGGGGAAGAACGGUGGGUUUGAGAAUAUUGAGUCCACAUGACGGUACCCAAGGAGGAAGCCCCGGCUAACUACGUGCCAGCAGCCGCGGUAAUACGUAGGGGGCAAGCGUUGUCCGGAAUUAUUGGGCGUAAAGGGCGCGUAGGCGGAUGCUUAAGUCCGGUGUGAAAGAUCAGGGCUCAACCCUGAGAGUGCAUCGGAAACUGGGUAUCUUGAGGACAGGAGAGGAAAGUGGAAUUCCACGUGUAGCGGUGAAAUGCGUAGAUAUGUGGAGGAACACCAGUGGCGAAGGCGACUUUCUGGACUGUAACUGACGCUGAGGCGCGAAAGCGUGGGGAGCAAACAGGAUUAGAUACCCUGGUAGUCCACGCCGUAAACGAUGAGUGCUAGGUGUAGAGGGUAUCGACCCCUUCUGUGCCGCAGUUAACACAAUAAGCACUCCGCCUGGGGAGUACGGCCGCAAGGUUGAAACUCAAAAGCUGAAUUG
rnacentral:rRNA from 1 species